AGAGUCGAUCGGACAGUCGCUGUUCCAUAUUGUUCCGCAAUAUGGGAGGGAGGAAAGUCCGGGCUCCAUAGGGCGGAGUGCCAGGUAACGCCUGGGGGGCGUGAGCCUACGGAAAGUGCCACAGAAAAUAACCGCCUAAGCGCUUCGGCGCCGGUAAGGGUGAAAAGGUGCGGUAAGAGCGCACCGCACGGCUGGCAACAGUCCGUGGCUAGGUAAACCCCACUCGGAGCAAGACCAAAUAG
rnacentral:RNase_P_RNA from 1 species